UACAGAGGGUGCAAGCGUUAAUCGGAAUUACUGGGCGUAAAGCGCGUGUAGGUGGUUUGUUAAGUUGGAUGUGAAAUCCCCGGGCUCAACCUGGGAACUGCAUUCAAAACUGACAAGCUAGAGUAUGGUAGAGGGUGGUGGAAUUUCCUGUGUAGCGGUGAAAUGCGUAGAUAUAGGAAGGAACACCAGUGGCGAAGGCGACCACCUGGACUGAUACUGACACUGAGGUGCGAAAGCGUGGGGAGCAAACAGG
rnacentral:rRNA from 1 species